CAGGGAGAACCAACCUCAAAUGAUGAUCACCAUUUUUUAGUGAUCCAUUUGACUGUUCAUUCCUAAGGUCGAUCGGUACCUCAGUGAGUGAUAAUCACUCAUCUCGGUCCUUAAGCUUGUCUAGGUCACCACCCCUUAGCUGAUAAGCUUUGUGGGAUGGGCCCGAGAGGGUUCCUGGGCCAUUAGCUCAGGUGGUUAGAGCGCACCCCUGAUAAGGGUGAGGUCCCUGGUUCAAGUCCAGGAUGGCCCAUCGGGAUUGGGGGUUUAGCUCAGCUGGUAGAGCGCCUGCUUUGCAAGCAGGAUGUCAGCGGUUCGAGUCCGCUAACCUCCAUUAGUCUUGAUAAUGGAACUGUGGCGCAGGGUGACUUAGAAGGAUGUUGGUGAUUCCAGCCUCGUUUGAUUCUUGAUUCAAGUUCAAACGAUGCUGGGCUCAGCAAUGGGUUCAGCAAGAACCUUGACAACUGCAUAGGUAAGUCUGGAAAUAAAGCAUCUCACAGAGAUGAUCCAGGCAUGAAGUGAUCCACGUUACGGCGUGAUUUGCUUGAUGUUUGGUUCAACAAUUCUGGAGAAAAGCCGAGUCCUGAAUCAAUUUGAUCAGGAACAAAAU
rnacentral:tRNA from 1 species